CUCUGACAUGCGCAGGGUCCUGGAGAUGUACAGGACCCUCCCACGGGCUAUACCUGUUGAUCCUUAGUGGCGUGUGCGACGUCUCGGACCCCCGGAGGGGCUGUGGCCUGGGAGCAGGAAAGGGCACCUGAGGUCCGACUCGCGUCACAGACAGGACCUGCACAGAACCGCCCAGACCCGGCGCUGCGGCCCAGCUUGUUCCAAGGAGCCCGGAGAAGCAUGGACGGAAGGAGAGGGAACA